rnacentral:rRNA from 1 species
UACGGAGGGUGCAAGCGUUAUCCGGAUUUACUGGGUUUAAAGGGUGCGUAGGCGGGCUUUUAAGUCAGUGGUGAAAUCUCCGGGCUCAACCCGGAAAUUGCCAUUGAUACUAUUAGUCUUGAAUUAAGUUGAGGUGGGCGGAAUGUGUCAUGUAGCGGUGAAAUGCUUAGAUAUGACAUAGAACACCGAUUGCGAAGGCAGCUCGCUAAACUUAUAUUGACGCUGAGGCACGAAAGCGUGGGGAUCAAACAGG